UCUAGGAAAAACAUUCGGAGGUCCAUGAAGACCAGGCCGCGUUUCUCAGGCGACCCCACCCCUCACUUUGCUUCUCUCUUUCUGAGGCUGUAGCCUUGGAAUAGCCGAGGGUUCUCUGGGAACUUCAGGGUCGUCACCGUACCCCUAUCAGAGCAGAAGGACGAACAAUAUUAGUCCUUUUUCUACAGAAGAGGAAACGGGCCUGAGACACGGAGUUCUUGGCCUGAGAACGCACAGGAAGUGGAGACCACCGUCCUCUAGAGGGCGAGGAUGAUCAGUGAAGAUGGUGAAUCUUGGAACAGGCCCAGCAGAUGAUCCACAGCUCUCUGCUAUGGCCUGGGAAAGCAGAAGAUGGCCCAAGUCCUUGGGCCCCUGCACCCACAUGGGAAGACCUGGAGGAGGCUCCUGGCUUUGGAUCAGCACAGCUCCGGCCGUUGUAGCCAAUUGGGGAGUGAACCGGCAGAUGGAAGAUCUCUCGAUCUCUCUCUCUCUCUUUCUUUUUCUCUUUCUCUCCCUCUCCUCUCUCUGUGUAACUCUGACUUUCAAAUAAAUAAAUAAAUAUUAAAAAAAGAGUGGCUACAUUCUGUUAUUUAAAAUGUAGUUUUGGGGCCAGCACUGUUGCAUGGUGGGUCAAGUCACCGCCUACAGUGCUGGCAUCCCAUAUGGGCGCUGGUUUGAGUCCCAGCUCUCCACUUCCCAUCCAGCUCUCUGCUGUGCAAGAAAAAUAAAUAGAGUAUCUGAAAAAACAAUGACAGAAAACUUAACAAAUCUGAUUAAAAUACAUGAAUCUGUACAUCUAAGAAGCUGAACAAAUUCUAACCAGAAUAAAUUUGAAGAUCCACAUGUUGACUCACCAUAGAUAAACUGUCAAAAGCCAAAGAUAAUCUUGAAGGCAAAAAAAAAAAAAAAUUACCUAUAAAGAAUUCUCAGAACAAAUUAAUAGCAGUUGUAUGCAAACAAUUUAGAUAACCUAAAAGAAACUAACAAAUUCCUAGAAAGCCAGAAAGAAUAAAAUCUAAUUCAAGAAUAAAUAGAAUAUCUGAACAGACCUAUAACAAAGUAGUUACACUAUUAAUCAAAGGCCUAGAGCUAGAUGGUUCAGUGGUAAUACUAUCAAAUAUUUAUAGAAAGGGGCUAGCGCUGUGGCGCAACAGGUUAAAGCCCUGGCCAGUGUCCCACAUGGGCACCGGUUUUCUGGUCCCGGCUGUUCCUCUUCCA